CGUAGGUGCAAGCGUUAUCCGGAAUUACUGGGUGUAAAGGGUGCGUAGGCGGCUAUGCAAGUCGGAUGUGAAACUCAGGGCUCAACCUUGAGAUUGCAUCUGAAACUAUGUAGCUAGAGUGUGGGAGAGGAAAGUGGAAUUCCGAGUGUAGCGGUGAAAUGCGUAGAGAUUCGGAGGAACACCAGUAGCGAAGGCGGCUUUCUGGACCAUUACUGACGCUGAGGCACGAAAGCGUGGGAGCAAACAGGAUU
rnacentral:rRNA from 1 species